rnacentral:rRNA from 1 species
CAGCCGCCGCGGGAAUACGAAGGGGGCUAGCGUUGUUCGGAUUUACUGGGCGUGAAGCGCACGUAGGCGGAUCGUUAAGUCGGGGGUGAAAUCCUGGAGCUCAACUCCAGAACUGCCUUCGAUACUGGCGAUCUUGAGUCCGGAAGAGGUGAGUGGAACUCCUAGUGUAGAGGUGGAAUUCGUAGAUAUUAGGAAGAACACCAGUGGCGAAGGCGGCUCACUGGCCCGGUACUGACGCUGAGGUGCGAAAGCGUGGGGAGCAAACAGGAUUAGAUACCCCCGUAGUCCCUGUCUCUUAUAC